rnacentral:rRNA from 1 species
UACAGAGGUCUCAAGCGUUGUUCGGAUUCAUUGGGCGUAAAGCGCGCGCAGGCGGUUCCUGUAAGUCUGGGGGGAAAUCUCACCGCUCAACGGUGAGGCUGCUCUGGAUACUGCGGACCUGGAGACCGGUAGAGGCUGGUAGAAUUCCUGGUGUAGCGGUGAAAUGCGUAGAGAUCAGGAAGAACACCGGUGGCGAAAGCGCUCUGCUAGGCCGCAACUGACACUGAGGGACGAAAGCUAGGGGAGCGAAUGGG